AGUCGAACGAUGAUGCCCAGCUUGCUGGGCGGAUUAGUGGCGAACGGGUGAGUAAUACGUGAGUAACCUGCCCUCGACUCUGGGAUAAGCCUGGGAAACUGGGUCUAAUACUGGAUACUACCUCUUACCGCAUGGUGGGUGGUGGAAAGGGUUUUACUGGUUUUGGAUGGGCUCACGGCCUAUCAGCUUGUUGGUGGGGUAAUGGCUCACCAAGGCGACGACGGGUAGCCGGCCUGAGAGGGUGACCGGCCACACUGGGACUGAGACACGGCCCAGACUCCUACGGGAGGCAGCAGUGGGGAAUAUUGCACAAUGGGCGGAAGCCUGAUGCAGCGACGCCGCGUGAGGGAUGACGGCCUUCGGGUUGUAAACCUCUUUCAGUAGGGAAGAAGCGAGAGUGACGGUACCUGCAGAAGAAGCGCCGGCUAACUACGUGCCAGCAGCCGCGGUAAUACGUAGGGCGCAAGCGUUGUCCGGAAUUAUUGGGCGUAAAGAGCUCGUAGGCGGUUUGUCGCGUCUGCUGUGAAAGCCCGGGGCUCAACCCCGGGUCUGCAGUGGGUACGGGCAGACUAGAGUGCAGUAGGGGAGACUGGAAUUCCUGGUGUAGCGGUGAAAUGCGCAGAUAUCAGGAGGAACACCGAUGGCGAAGGCAGGUCUCUGGGCUGUUACUGACGCUGAGGAGCGAAAGCAUGGGGAGCGAACAGGAUUAGAUACCCUGGUAGUCCAUGCCGUAAACGUUGGGCACUAGGUGUGGGGGACAUUCCACGUUUUCCGCGCCGUAGCUAACGCAUUAAGUGCCCCGCCUGGGGAGUACGGCCGCAAGGCUAAAACUCAAAGGAAUUGACGGGGGCCCGCACAAGCGGCGGAGCAUGCGGAUUAAUUCGAUGCAACGCGAAGAACCUUACCAAGGCUUGACAUUCACCGGACCGCCCCAGAGAUGGGGUUUCCCUUCGGGGCUGGUGGACAGGUGGUGCAUGGUUGUCGUCAGCUCGUGUCGUGAGAUGUUGGGUUAAGUCCCGCAACGAGCGCAACCCUCGUUCUAUGUUGCCAGCACGUGAUGGUGGGGACUCAUAGGAGACUGCCGGGGUCAACUCGGAGGAAGGUGGGGAUGACGUCAAAUCAUCAUGCCCCUUAUGUCUUGGGCUUCACGCAUGCUACAAUGGCCGGUACAAAGGGUUGCGAUACUGUGAGGUGGAGCUAAUCCCAAAAAGCCGGUCUCAGUUCGGAUUGAGGUCUGCAACUCGACCUCAUGAAGUCGGAGUCGCUAGUAAUCGCAGAUCAGCAACGCUGCGGUGAAUACGUUCCCGGGCCUUGUACACACCGCCCGUCAAGUCACGAAAGUUGGUAACACCCGAAGCCGGUGGCCUAACCCCUUGUGGGAGGGAG
rnacentral:rRNA from 1 species